CUUGACAUGUCAAGAAUUUCGCAGAGAUGUGGAAGUGCUCGAAAGAGAACUUGAACACAGGUGCUGCAUGGCCGUCGUCAGCUCGUGUCGUGAGAUGUUGGGUUAAGUCCCGCAACGAGCGCAACCCUUGUCAUUAGUUGCUACGAAAGGGCACUCUAAUGAGACUGCCGGAGACAAACCGGAGGAAGGUGGGGAUGACGUCAGGUCCUCAUGGCCCUUAUGGGUAG
rnacentral:rRNA from 1 species